rnacentral:rRNA from 10 species
CCACGGAGACGUUGAACGCUGAACACGCCCCAUCUCGUUUGAUCUCGGAAGCUAAGCAGUUUCGGGCCUGGUAAGUACUUCGAUGGGAGACCGCCUGGGAAUAGCAGGUGCUGUAAGGG